CUGGAUUCCACUUUGAGAUGCAGUGUGUCCUGGGGUUGGAGCUCUGGGAAAGUCCCAACAGCAAGCGUUCCAGGCUGCCUCCUGCAGGAGGAGUGAGAGGCACAGGAAACCACUGCCCAGGCAGAGGACCUUGAAGAACCUGUCCUGCCAGGUGAGGCCUUCACCCGCCCCUCCCAGGGUACUCAGCAGGUGAGGGGACACCUGGUGCAUA
rnacentral:lncRNA from 1 species